rnacentral:rRNA from 1 species
GACGUAGGGCGCGAGCGUUGUCCGGAUUUAUUGGGCGUAAAGAGCUCGUAGGCGGCUUGUCGCGUCGUCCGUGAAAACCUGCGGCUCAACUGCAGGCUGGCGGUCGAUCCGGGCAGGCUGGAGUUCGGUAGGGGAGACUGGAAUUCCUGGUGUAGCGGUGAAAUGCGUAGAUAUCUGGAGGAAUACCGGUGGCGAAGGCGGCAUCCUGGACCGGCAUUGACGCUGAGGAGCGAAAGCUAGGGGAGCAAACGGG